rnacentral:misc_RNA from 1 species
AAUAUUUAAUAACGCUCGGACAUAGACGAGCUGCUGAAGAGACGCCAGGAAUCGUUGUUAUUUUCGGAUCUGUAUGCUGUGUUGCAGCGUCCACUUGCAAGUGGAUUCACCGAAUUGCACCGUUUCCUUCGCGUCCAAGAAAAUUGUCGAUCGAUCUCUGGAUCGUCGGAUACUUGCCACGAGAUCCGGAUACGGACAAGUUUAGGUUCGUUUGUUCGACAGUCGGUGACCACCUAGCUAAAGUUCAAAGGAUACCUUUCGUCGUCUACAGGGUUGGCGCGCCCACCUUCCGAUUUCUGGGUCAUAUAGAUGCGAGAAUAAUAGCAGGCUAAAACAAAGAAUUACUCUACUUUACUUUUAUAAGAGGUUGCUGCCAAU